UACGUAGGGUCCGAGCGUUGUCCGGAAUUAUUGGGCGUAAAGGGCUCGUAGGCGGUUCGUCACGUCGGGAGUGAAAACUCGGAGCUUAACUCCGAGCCUGCUUCCGAUACGGGCAUCACUGGAGUUCGGCAGGGGAGACUGGAAUUCCUGGUGUAGCGGUGAAAUGCGCAGAUAUCAGGAGGAACACCGGUGGCGAAGGCGGUUCUCUGGGCAUUACCUGACGCUGAGGAGCGAAAGCUAGGGGAGCAAACGGG
rnacentral:rRNA from 1 species